UACAGAGGUCUCAAGCGUUGUUCGGAUUCAUUGGGCGUAAAGGGUGCGUAGGUGGCGAGGUAAGUCGGAUGUGAAAUCUCAGGGCUCAACCCUGAAACUGCAUUCGAUACUGCCUUGCUUGAGGACUGGAGAGGAGAUUGGAAUUCACGGUGUAGCAGUGAAAUGCGUAGAUAUCGUGAGGAAGACCAGUGGCGAAGGCGGGUCUCUGGGCCACUACUGACGCUGAGAAGCGAAAGCGUGGGGAGCGAACAGG
rnacentral:rRNA from 1 species